rnacentral:rRNA from 1 species
CCCUUAGAUGUUCUGGGCGGCCCGCGCACUACAAUGGCGUGUGCAGCGAGUGCCGAAGUAGAGUUUUCCGAGGUAUUCUUGCAAUGCUCGUUUUGAUGGGGAUAGACCCUUGCAACUGUUGGUUUUGAACGAGGAAUUCCUUGUAAGCAUGGUUUAUCAUCCGACGCUGAAUGCGUCCCUGCCCUUUGUACCCACCGCCCGUCGCUCCUACCGAUGAGUCGUCCGGUGAAGUUCGUAGACCUCGUGAUCGCGGAUCACUGGGGGAAGCAAAAUGAACCUCGCGGUUUAGAGGAAGGAGAAGUCGUAACA